rnacentral:lncRNA from 1 species
ACUCCCUUUACAGUAAUUACAAAGCAGCCCGUCUCCUAGUUUCAGCUCUAACAGCAGCAGUUAUGUAUAUAAAGUUUUUUCUUAUCCUCACAACAAAUUUUGACAACCAAAGAUUGUCCAGUCCAGUUAACUUGGACUGCUAGAUUCACAUUUGCUGAUGAGUGGAAGCCUAACAUUUAAAGAGACCGCUCAGAAAAGCUGUAAGGCCUCCGGGGGUCCCCGAACCAUACUUUUAUAGGCUCACUCUGCCGACUGCAAUAACAUCCACGCCUCUGUGCUGCUGCCUCUGCAUCCUUCCUGCAUGCUGUCGGGAGUCUGCUGCUGCUGCCAGGGUUAGUCUUGUACUUUAGUAAGCGGCUGUGAGCGCACAACAGGGAAGAAAACUUGGGUAAACUUUGCAACUUGAGAUGUGAAGACGCACAACAAGGAGCGAAUAGUUCAGGAUGCAAAGGAUAUUGUUUUGCUUUCUGGGCCUGCUUCUGAUGUUUCCAGCUCCUUUAUCCCACCUGAUGGCUCAGCUGCUGUCUGUGAUCUUCAGCAUGAUCCCAAUGUGUUAUUUAUUUCUUUUUACUGGUUUACAAUGACACGAGAGCAACAAUUAUCAGCGUAUGUACAAUAAAAGCAUCUAGAUUUUACUCCAACAUUGAUGAGGAUUUUUCUUUUGCUCUUUUGAACCAAAACAGUUUGGAAAAUAACCUGAAAUGGACAGAAAUUGAGAAUGAAUUUCUUUCUUUUCUUCUGUGUUAUUAUGAUGUGCAAAGACUAGCUAUAAUAGGAGUCUUUUAGGUUGCACCGAUGAGACAAUGUAAUUGUUUUACUUUUAUAAUGGUAAAAUGCGAAGGAUUAUUCAUACCACUGUCAUUUACAGACAGGCAAGAAAUUAAAGGCAUACCCUGAACUCUUGACCUCCUACACAGAGAGACAUUAGGGGGUGUCCAAAUUCAUAGGCUGCAUCCUCCUGAGGCCGCAUUUGUAGGCCGAUUAUGUCACAGCGACGCAACG